AGUCCCCGGCCAUCCUGGGACUUACGGCACACACUGCCAGAUGUGAAAUAGAGAUCCAGUCAAGUGAUUUACUGUGACCGCAGCAUGGGCUCCAUCCUGAUCCUGUAGUCCUGAUCCACACCGUGUGGACCCAGAAUCAUCUGGGAAGAUGCUGUUGAUAUGAACUCAACUGAGUGUCGGUCAUCAGGUAUCUCAAAGCUCCAGCAAGCACCCCAGGCCUGAGCACCAUCUUCCUGGAGAUGGGCCCCAGCCCUAAUUGGUCCGAGAUAGGCAUCGUAAGGCCUGGUGCAGGAGGAAAGGGUUGGAAUGUUCGGUCCCACAUGUCAAGCAAACCUGUCCCCUCUCAGAGCUGAAUGGAUGAAACAUCAUAACUCAGAAAACACAUUGGACUUGAGCUCUCUAGCCUGGCAGCCCACAUGCCCUGGACACUUAAAAACUCCUGGACUAAAGAAACUUCAAUUUCUUAGAGGCAAAAAGUUUCCCACAAAAUCCUGGUUUAAACACCAAGAAAUAAAUGUCUACUUAGCUGUAGAAGAUUAGAGUUGUCAUCUCAGAGCAGCCAUAUUGAGAUAGAGGGCCAAAUUCUGGUGCAGGUGAAUCAGAAAGAUGCAGAUUACAUUUUUGUCUGAAAUGGAGCACAUGGUGAAAAAGUAAGGGUUUGGGGCUGAAAUAUGCUGAGCACUCACUGCCUCCCAGCUGUGCCAAAGAGCAGCUCAAGGGGCUUACGUAUGGAAGUGUGUACGUGGUUCUCUUUUUUCUCUCCUGAACCUGCUCCUGGAAUCUAUCGUCCUGUCCUCUUUCAUAACCUUCUCUGUGGAGCAGACACACUCUCCCAACUGCGGCUCCAUUUGCCCUGCCAAAUCCCAUUCUGAAAAUCAACUUUCAAAAUGGCAACUUUAAGGGAACACAAAUGGGGCUGAAAACGAAGGAGCAGCCGAAAGGAAUGGUUUGAAUUCAGAAGUUAAAGAGGAUCAAGAAGCCUUGUGGAGCAAACUUAUAUUUCCUAAGGAUCCUGAUGGCUUGUGCCAGUCGAGGUGACCAGUCUCUCCAGAUGGGAUGUGCCACUUCUUGCACUGGGCUGUAAUUGCCCAUGACAAUUGCAGUCUUCUCACUGUACCAAGGAAAAGAGAUACACCAACAAAAGCACCAGCCAGAAACCCACACUGUUUGAGGCAGCUGUCCUAUUAAAACUGUAAUUGUCUCCACUACA